rnacentral:rRNA from 1 species
UUGGAGGGCAAGUCUGGUGCCAGCAGCCGCGGUAAUUCCAGCUCCAAUAGCGUAUAUUAAAGUUGUUGCAGUUAAAAAGCUCGUAGUUGAAUUUCGGGAUCAAUGUUUCGGUCAUGCCGUUGGUAUGUACUGAUAUUAUUGAUUUCUCACCUUCUAAAGAACCGUAAUGCCAUUAAUUUGGUGUCACGGGGAAUUAGGACUGUUACCUUGAAAAAAUUAGAGUGUUUAAAGCAGACUAUCGUCUGAAUACAUUAGCAUGGAAUAAUGAAAUAGGACGGACUGAUUCUAUUUCGUUGGUUUCUAGGAUCACCGUAAUGAUUAAUAGGGAUAGUUGGGGGCAUUAGUAUUCAAUUGUCAGAGGUGAAAUUCUUGGAUUUAUUGAAGACUAACUACUGCGAAAGCAUUUGCCAAGGAUGUUUUCAUUAAUCAAGAACGAAAGUUAGGGGAUCGAAGACGAUCAGAUACCGUCGUAGUCUUAACCAUAAACUAUGCCGACUAGGGAUCGGAUGAUGUUAAUUUUUUAAUGACUCAUUCGGCGCCUUACGGGAAACCAAAGUGUUUGGGUUC